rnacentral:rRNA from 1 species
UACGUAGGGGGCAAGCGUUUGUCCGGAUUUAUGGGCGUAAAGAGCGUGUAGGCGCCAGGUAGGUCAGCUGUGAAAACUCGAGGCUCAACCUCGAGACGUCGGUUGAAACCACCUGGCUAGAGUCCGGAAGAGGAGAGUGGAAUUCCUGGUGUAGCGGUGAAAUGCGCAGAUAUCAGGAAGGAACACCCGUGGCGAAGGCGGCUCUGGCGG